GGGAUUUUUGACUCGGGGGCGGGUGGGUGUGGCUGUGGGAGAUGCAUCGGUCAGAGGGUCGUUGGGGGAGGAGAGGAGUGGGACAGAGGGAAUGACAGAUUGGAGAGAGAUGGGAGCUACGUGUUUCGACUGAGUGGGAGAGAGAUAAAGGGAUUUUGUCCAAUUUUUGAGAGAAGGAUGGACAGGGAGAGAGAGAGAGAGAGAGAGGGCAGAAAGCAUGGCUGUGUGCAUUUUUUGGGGUUAACGGGUUACUCCACAGGGUUGUUAAGGAGAGAAUGGCUGAGGGAGGUAUGGGAGAGAGUGGGUUUUCAGUUUUCACCUCUGAUUCAACAGGGAAUGCACUGUUUUAAAAUCAUUGUUUAUUGUUUGGUUUGCCAUUUGCUUUGUUAAAACUGUGAUGAAUAUUUUGUUGUUUCAUUAAAAUUGUAAUGGAUGUUUAUAGGCUGUUUAGUUGGGUGUUAGGGAGAUUAGGCUGUUGAGUGCUCUGUUCCGUACACAGUUAGAGUCAGGUUUGUGUCUUCAUAAGCUAGGGGGUUGCACUGUGCUCAUUUCUGUGUUUCUUCAUGAUUUGCUGCUGUUUCCUUCUCAACAAAUCAAAUUGAGGUUGCUUUUCCGCUUCACAUCGUUUGAAUAUCCCUCUGUUGCUAGAUUGUUUCUCCAUACUUUGUUGCUUCUGUAUUUCUGUGAUGUGAGUGUUGGGGAGAUUAGGCUGUUUUAGCAACUGUUUAGCUCCUCUGUUGGUAGUUUGUUUUUCCAAUUCUUGGUUGCUUAUGUAUUUCUGUGAUGCACUUCUUAAUUUUUUCUUGACAUGUAUGCAGAUCAAACACAAGCAUACACAUCAAACCAUGCAUUCACAGAGCAGGCGCCAAAGAGACCAUCAUUGAGGUAUUUGUUUAUCCAUUCUUAAUUUUGUUAGGUGUUGGAACAAAUCGCUUAACUGUGUUCGAAUGCAGACUCUUAUUCUCUCUAAUCUUAACUGUUAGGGUCCUCUGUUAUAUUCUCAUAUCUCUUCUGCAUUUGGAUUUGGAUUUUAUACAAAUAGAUUCUUGGUCAAACAAAAUGGGAAAAAAUGGUUGUUUCAACAUCACUUCUUUAGUUCUAUGAGAGGAACUCUGUUCGAAUUCUUACUCUUAUUCUCUCUAAUUUUUUGCUGUUUAGUUUGGACUCCUAUCGCAGCAUCAUCAUUUGCUCUUGCAGCUGCUUUUGAUGCAAAGGUUCUCAGCCAUGACAUUUGAAUCAAAAUUCUGGUAUGCCACCUGACCUUUGAUGCAGUGCUUCCCCGUACUUUCCAUUUGAGUGAUUGUUAUUUUUGUUCUCUGUAGUUUUUAGGUUUAUGGAUAAAAUAUCUUAGACCUCUUUAUUCUCCGAUAUGAUUCCAAUUUGGCACUGUAUUAUUUCUUUAAGAACAUUUCAAAUGAGUCUAUUUGUUUCUGAGACGUAUGUUGUAAAAUUCUGCUCUUUUUAUGGCUUCCUGCUUCAAGGGCUUAUUAACUUUAGAAUUUGUACCAUAACAAUUAAUUGUUUUUACCUUUCUGAAAAAUAGAAGUCUUCUUGGUCAGUCAUUUUGCACUUGAAUUCUUCGUAGUCAGUCAUUUUUAUCUGAUGCGAAGACCUUUGUAUCAAUCAUUGUUUCAGUUUAUCGGUAGAAAUGAAUGACUUCUUUGUUAUAAAACUCCUCAUGCUGCUGCAGCACUUUUACUACUUUUUGAGGUUUAUGUAAAUUUUCAAAGAAAUCGCAUGAUACCAAUAAAUCAGAGGUUUAAACAUAGUAAAUCUUGCAAGCAAUGUGUUGGAAGAGUUUUGUGCUUCAUAGAACAGUUUUUUCUUAAGGGCUGUCAAAAUUUGGAGUGUUGGUGGGAUAUUCAAUUGGUGGUAGGUAGGUACUGGUGAAAGGAUUAGAUUUUGGUAGGCUUUGUUGUUGGGAAUCACAUCUUUGCAAUCACAUUUUUUGUUUUUCCCGUGAACUAGGACAUAAAUGAAGAGAACCUUCAAGACUUAAACUGCUGCCAUCUUUCUGAUGUGCCUGAUGUUUAUGUUCGGUUGAAUUUCAACUUCUAGGUAAGUUUAUUAUAAGUAAUCUCAUGGUGGUUUGGAAAUAGCAUUGACUAUUUGUGUAGUACAAACUUCUGUGUAGCACCUGCCCUUCUACUUAUGCUACAAGUACAAGGAAUCAUGAGUCAAUUUUGAUUCACUGUGCAGGUGCAUUUUAGCCACACACUGACAGCUACUGCUGCACUUUAGGUACAAUUAAACAACCAUCAUUCUCCAAUUCAUGUGAAAAACUCAUGUACAUUGUAUAUAGUUGGGACUUUAAAAAAUCCGACAUUUUUUUUUAAGAUAGGCUUUUAAUGUAAAUUCAAUAGAAUGUAGAUCCAACUGAAAGACUUAAUUUACCAUGUCGAUUCAGUUGCUUUGAUUGGUUUCUGAAUAAUUUAAAAAUUGGUGUGUUAAACUAUGGUUACGAAUUCAAAACCCGCAAUGGAGCUUGGGCAUCUUUGCUAGUAUCAACUAUAGUAAAGAGUAAGGUGUGCAGCAAUAUCAAUUAUUGUAACUUUUCUUGCUCAUCGUAGUAACCACCAUGUAUUUUCCGAUUACAAUCAAUGUAAGCCGAGACGAAAGGAACUAAGAAACAGUCGGUCACAGAUCGACAAUUUAAUUCUGACCACAAAGUAGAAAGGUAUAUCCACCGAAACGAGUAAAUGAUUGUCAGAAUUGCGUAUUAUAAUUGAUUUACUUUGUUGACUGAGAGAAUGCAUGCACCGAAAAGAAAGGAGAAGUUGUUCCAGUCUGUGGUUUACUUUAUUUCAAUGGUUGAAUAGUAUAAGUCUCGGAAGAAGCUUCCUUGAAUAGCAUAAGUCUAGGAAGAAGCUACCUUAAAUAUUUAAUUUAGCACUCCCGUCUAUAUCAGCAUCUUCAAUUAUAACAGUGUGAAACCUCGCUGAUGAAAGAAUAAUCAAGUAGUAUUUGAUUUAAAAUUAUUAUGCAUUUUAAAU
rnacentral:lncRNA from 1 species